rnacentral:tRNA from 1 species
GUAAAUAUAGUUUAAUAAAA